ACAGUCCAUGUCCCUUUGGCCUAGAAACAGUCCUGUUUAUGUGUAUGUGCAUAUGUGUGCAGCAGUUCUUUGUUUUUUUUAAAAGUUCUUUCACAGUCCAUAUGAACAAUAAGUGUGUGUACUAGUUGAUAAGAACAAUUAGUGUGCUCUCAAUCUCUGUUUCAGUUUCAGUUCAAGUUUAAUACACAGAUGGUGGUCUUGGGUAGGGAAACACUGUUGGCACCCAAGCUGUAAAUGUAGGUGUCCACAUGUUAGGAAAGUGUGGAUCAUAUCCAGAACCAGUUACUUGCACUUUGUAACAGGUCUGUCACUUGACUCAAUUUCCUCUGGUACUUUCGCAGGUACAUGAGCAGGUGUGGGAACAUCUUGUUUCACUUCAGCUGUAG